ACACACACACACAUAUAUAUAUAUACACACACACAUAUAUACACACACACACACAUAUAUAUAUAUGGCAUAAUUUAUAGAAGAAGUAAUUGUUACUUAAAAUAAUAACAAUUAUAGGUUUUUGUUACAUAUAAAAUAAAAUUUUAUGCAAAGUAUUUAUAUAUUUAUAAAAAAAAUGCAUUAAUAGUACUUUCACAUACUUUCAGUGUUGCUGUGUUUAAUCUUUGUUUAUUUCUUGAGAAGUGUGUGACUUUGUGGAUGUUGUGACAUUGAGGUGAACUGUGAUAAGUUUGCAGGGCGGUUGGAUGUUUACGGUAACACUUAUUGAGCGGGCAGCGUGUGUGUGAGUGAGUGUGUGUGAGUGAGUGUGUGUGAGAGUGUGUGUGUGUGUGUGAGUGAGUGUGUGUGAGAGAGUGUGUGUGUGGCACUGUGCCAUGAGGAGCCUGGCACAGCAGUGGCAGAAGCAUCAUGAAAAAUCCCACACAGAUGGAUGAACCUGUGUUUGUGUGUGUGUGUGUGUGUGUGUGUGUGUGUGUGUGUGUGACGCCAAGGUCAGUGUGCUAUUGUUGUUUACCUGGAUGGCGGGUGGUUGGUACAUGCAGUUCUCUGGCUGAAUGUUUGUUUUAUUCAGAUGAAGGGCAGAAGGUCUCAGAAAUGCCUUCUUUGGCCCUGUUUUCCAGUAUUUUUACACAAAACAUAUGUUCCUUUAUACUUUCGAAAUGCAUUUUAUUACUGUUGAGUAUAAUCAGUGAUAACCACUAUCAGUCGUGUGUUUAUGUGUGUCUGUGGUAGUGUGUGUGUGUGUGUGUGUUUAGGUUGACAUGGAUACGAGCCAGUAAAAAUAAUGUAAGCUGAUCCUCCGUGUGAGAGAGAUCUGCCUGAGGCCAGAUCACAUUUACGCUGUAAAGAUCAUGUGUCUGGAGGAGCCGGUGAACAGCCGCUGUGUCUGCGUUCAUCAGGAGGCCGCGCCGACGGUGUCAGGACCAAUCAGACGAUCGCAGGUCUCCCCCCAGACUCGGCCGCGUCUCCGCGUCAGCACAAAAACACAAGAGGUUUGCUGGAGAGGCACUGAAGAGCAGUCAGCAGAAAAACACGGGCCGGCGGCCAAGCAGACGGACGAAGGGGUCAGAGAGGGCCAAAGAGCCAGCGCUUCACUGAGACUCACACAGAGGAGCGUCUGUGCACAGAAACACACACACGGAGCAAUUAACAGCCCGAUAAUGAUGAGUAAUGGCCAUCUCGCCGGCUAUUUCUGUGCAAAACAGCCCACUUUCAACCUCACCCAUCUCCUUUUUAGUCAAUAAAAGGCAUUUAUAAGCAACCCUUUCGCUUGGCCUUUGGGUGCCUUGGAUUCGGAGGAGCUUACGAAGCUCGUGGUAGAGAUCCGAAGCGCGCAAGAUGGUACAAACUUCUUUUGAAUUAAGGCAUACAUGCCAGAUGCUAAAAAACGUGUCCCGCUGCACGCUUAUUGCUCCAUGCACGCACUCGAUAGACGGAAGUUAUUACGGAAGCCGCCGCAGGAUUAAAAAAAAACAAAACGAAUGCAACUUUUUCCACGCGAUUCACAAUUUUCCGCCACAUAAACCCGUCAUAACUGAUAAUCAGUUUAUUUCCUACCGUCCUGAGAGAUAAGGUAGAAAUUAGCUUGUUUUGCACAACCCUGUUUUUAUCUUGCAGUCGAAGUAGGAGUUGUGUAAUUCGCUCACAAUCGCGAGAAGUGCAGAAUCUUUGAGAUGCGAGCUUAAACCGUUUUCGGUGGAGUCGGCCUUUCGUGCAUCUCUCACCGUUCAGGCCUCGUUUAGAAAAUACUGCGCAGAAACCGUCCUAAAUCUUGAUCGUCUCUCAAACACGCUUACGUGCGAUGCAUAGCAUGCGUCCAUGAAGCGCAAAUAAUAUAAGCCCGUCUUUCAGAGGCCAAAUCUGUGAAUCACAAACGAUCUUGAACGUGCGCGCAGCUGUCGUCAUCGAUAGGCCGUUAUCUGAUUUACGACAGAGCGCUGCAGAAACGGCUCACGCUCCCGAAAACCUGCAGAAAAAGUAAUACUCUUGCGUUUUCCCCCCAAUUUCGCCACACGUGUCAGGACGGACAACUUAGUCUCGCACGUGCCUUGCAAAAACCCAGCACUCGAGUUAAAAAAAGUGAAAAGUGUUAGACUACGAAUGUUUAGUUCCUCUGCACUGCGUCUCACACCUUUGCUUGUUUCUCCAUCACUUUAUCUAUAUCUUUUCACGCGUCUUUUGGAAUUUCGCUUACGGCAACGAACUCGGCUAAAAGCAGUUUUUUCCCUAUUUAUUCGCGCCACACCUUCUGUGGGAACACGUCUCCCAAUCUGUCUCUCUAAGUGCAGCGGGAAGAGUAAUUGUUCGUCCCGAGAUCUGUUUUUGACAGCCGAUCAUUCCAGUCCGAGGAAUCACCCGCUCGUUCCGGUAAGUGUCACCAGAAGGUGAUUUAUGGACUUCAGAAAGCAUCGGUCUGAAGUGUUAAUGUCUCGAACCGCGGCAAAGCAAAGGCAAACAGGCCACGUGACGUGUGAAUAAUAGGGCGUAGUUAUUUGUUUAAUGAGGAUUGCGUUAGUUAUCGUAGUGCUGAAGGCAAGAACGUCUUAUUAUGAAACUGGAUUUGUGUAGCUCUACACGUUUGUGUGCUUUCAGGAGACCCCACGACCUUCACGCUGGACCUUCACAGCUUCAUCUAGACGGCCGGAUAAUGAGCGGCGACGAAGAGCUGAUAACAUGAAGAUGAAGCUCCUCAAAGCCCGAUGUGUGUCUACAUUAGCAGCUCGGUCUCCUGGAAAGACAGACCAGACGGACAAACAGGAAGCAGCUGUUGCCAGGGAAACAGGCUGCGGAGCGUGGGAGAGAUUGUGAGGUCUUCCAGGAGCACCUGCACGCGGCUGAGUCAACACAGUGCCUCAUUACAGCCGGGUUUAAUGGUCUCCUGUCCACAUCUGCCUGGCUUUUUGGAUCCGCCCUCGACGAGGCAGUAAAUCUCGAGCGAAUCCGGGGUGAAAACGCACCUGUAGCGCCGCCCCGCCCCCGUGAGCUCACGUCUGGAGUCGUGGGUUCGUAAAUCCACCUGCCCUGCCUGCUGUUUUCCUCGCGUUCGGCAAAUCCCGGCCUGUUUUUCCUGCGUUUCCUGCGCCAGCUCUCGCCCGUCUGUCAGUCAGAGCUGGCACUGGUCGCACAUAACCCACAUUCCUGCCUUAAAGACGCAGUACGCCCACAGAACCAUCACGCAGCAUCAUUCGAGCGUGAGAAAUCAUCACGUCGGGCUGACAUCACGCACGACGGUGUACAUCCAUAAAGAAACAUGACAUCUGAGGUUUAUGCAUAUGCAAACGUAUCAUGGCAUCACAUGCGCAGAUGUAGUUGGCUGCUGUGCGAGAUGCGCGCUCCUUUAAAGGGCUUUCGGCCUCCCAUAUCCAGCCUGUGUUUAAAACCGAGUCUGUUCUGACGUCAGACGUGGGCGUGUGACCCUAAAUUAGACUCUGAAAAAACGUCACUUCAUCAGCAUCCAGAAUCUGCGGUGAGCUCCUCUGAAUCCGAAAGCAUUGUGUGCUUCGAUUGUUUAAAAUACUUCAGCGCUCCAGGCACGAAUGAUUCCUCGAAUCAUGUAGAUUUUUAAGUUUGAAGAUUUUCCCUAUAGACUAUUCACAAAGAAAUGUAUACACAUUAGGUAUUUCAAAAUAACUAUUUUUUUUAUUAUAAAAUUUAUUUAUUAAACAUUUUUAAGAAAGCAUUCAUUAAUGUUUUGAAAUU